GCCCGGGUUGGCAAACAGGUGAAGCCGGGCGGUCUUAAAAACCGCUGCCCGCGAGGGCUUGCGGGUUCGAUUCCCGCCCCGGGCA
rnacentral:tRNA from 1 species